UACGGGGGGGGGCAAGCGUUGUUCGGAAUUACUGGGCGUAAAGGGCUCGUAGGUGCCAACUAAGUCGGACGUGAAAUCCCUCGGCUUAACCGGGGGAACUGCGUCCGAUACUGGUUGGCUUGAGUUUGGGAGAGGGAUGCGGAAUUCCAGGUGUAGCGGUGAAAUGCGUAGAUAUCAGGAGGAACACCGGUGGCGAAGGCGGUUCUCUGGGCAUGUCCUGACGCUGAGGAGCGAAAGUGUGGGGAGCGAACAGG
rnacentral:rRNA from 1 species